UGCCUUAACUUUUUGAACAGAUUGCCACCUACUAUAAAUGUAAUAUUUAAUUUAAUUAUUUAAUUUUUUACUGUAAAACAAUGUAUUUCUAUGUCUUUUUAAUGAAAUGUUACAUUCAAUCAAGAUGGAUAUUGUACAUUUUGUUACAGGCAAGCAUCAGUUGAAAAGAAAAGGGCAUCAGCGAAAGACAGGCUUGCAAAGUAUAGGGAAAAAAUAUACAGUAAUCCAGUGUUACUUGAGGAGUACAGAAGAAAGGAGAGAGAAAGGUAUCGGAAACGUAAAGAAAAUGGUAAAAUUAAGACUACUCAGGACCUCACAAGUAGACCGCAUGAGAGAAAAAAAAAAAAAAAGUGGAAGAAAAAUUCGGCAAAAUAUUACAGAAAAGAAAAAAGCAAGAGCAA